rnacentral:rRNA from 1 species
CGCGGCCUAUCAGCUUGUUGGCGAGGUAACGGCUCACCAAGGCUACGACGGGUAGCUGGUCUGAGAGGAUGGCCAGCCACAUUGGGACUGAGAUACGGCCCAGACUCCUACGGGAGGCAGCAGUGGGGAAUAUUGCGCAAUGGCCGCAAGGCUGACGCAGCGACGCCGCGUGCGGGAUGAAGGCCUUCGGGUUGUAAACCGCUGUCAGGAGGGACGAAUGCCCGGCCGCGAAUAGUGGACCGGGAGUGACGGUACCUCCAAAGGAAGCACCGGCUAACUCCGUGCCAGCAGCCGCGGUAAUACGGAGGGUGCGAGCGUUGUCCGGAAUCACUGGGCGUAAAGGGCGCGUAGGCGGCCACGUGAGUCGGUUGUGAAAUCCCGGGGCUCAACUCCGGGGCUGCAUCCGAUACUGCAUGGCUAGAGUGCGGCAGGGGCGAGCGGAAUUCCCGGUGUAGCGGUGGAAUGCGUAGAUAUCGGGAAGAACACCAGUGGCGAAGGCGGCUCGCUGGGCCGUUGCUGACGCUGAGGCGCGAAAGCGUGGGGAGCAAACAGGAUUAGAUACCCUGGUAGUCCACGCCGUAAACGAUGGGCACUAGGCGUCGGGGGGAGCGACCCCCUCGGUGCCGUCGCUAACGCAGUAAGUGCCCCGCCUGGGGAGUACGG